ACCAGUAAAAAAUAGUAAAAAACAGUAGGAACCGGUACAAACCAGUACGGACCAGUACAAACCAGUAUAAACCAGUAUGGACCAGUACAAACCAGUAAAAAAUAGUAAAAACCAGUAGGAACUGGUACAAACCAGUAUGGACCAGUAUAAACCAGUAUAGACCAGUACAAACCAGUAUGGACCAGAACGGACCAGUACAAACCAGUAAAAAAAAAAAAACAAAACAGUAGGAACUGGUACAAACCAGUACGGACCAGUAUGAACCUAUAGAAACCAGUAUGGACCAGUGAAAACCAGUAAAAAAUAGUAAAAACCAGUAGGAACCAGUACAAGCCAGUAUGGACCAGUAUGAACUUAUAGAAACCAGUAUGGACCAGUAUAAACCAGUAUGGACCAGUACAAACCAUUAGAAGGCUAUAGAAACCAUUAUGGACCAGUAUAAACCAGUACAGACCAGUAAAAACCACUAUAAUCCAGUAAAAAAUUAUAAAAACUAGUAGGAACCAGUACAAACCAGUAUGGACCAGUAAAAACCAGUGUAAACCAGUACGGACCAAUGAAAACCAGUAAAAAAUAGUAAAAACCAGUUCGGACCAGUAUAGACCAGUAGAAACCAGUACGGACCAGUAUAAACCAGUGCCCCCCCCAGAAUAAACCACUCCAAACCAGUCCAGAUCAGUCCCUCCCAGUAUAAACCAGUUCAAACCAGUUCAAAAUAAGAGACCCAAGAGACUCCAACAGGGCUCAACCACUUUUAUUGAGGGGGGGAAAAAUUUGGGGAAAAUCGGGAAAAUUUUGGGAAAAAAUUGGGAAAUUUUGGGGGGAAAUUUGGGGGGAAAUUUUGGGAUUUAUUUGAAUUUUUGGGGAACAAUUUGAGGGAAUUUUGGGGAAAUUUUUUGGGGGAGAAUUUUGGGACUUUUGGAGGAAAAUUUUGGGGAAUUUUUGAGGAAUUUUUGGGGAAUUUUUGGGUCCUCCCAGCUCAUCCCAAAGGGAGUCACAGCUGGGAGGGGGAAAAAAAAUCCCAAAAUUAAAAUUUGGUACAGUCCAAAAUAGGGGGGGGAAACCUCAAAAAUUACUGGAAAAAUCUCAAAUUUUUGGGGA
rnacentral:lncRNA from 1 species